rfam:Brachypodium distachyon strain Bd21 chromosome 2, whole genome shotgun sequence.
GAGAUACUCCCUCCGUCCAACAAAAGAUGUCUCAAGUUUAUCAAAAUUUGGAUGUAUCUAGAUAUGACUUAGUGUAUAAAUGCAUUCAAAUGUUGUCAAAGUCGAGACAUCCUUUGUUGGACGGAGAGAGUAUAAU